rnacentral:rRNA from 1 species
UACGUAGGGGGCUAGCGUUGUCCGAAAUCAUUGGGCGUAAAGCGCGCGUAGGCGGCCCGGUAAGUCCGCUGUGAAAGUCAAAGGCUCAACCUUUGAAUGUCAGCGGAUACUGCCGGGCUAGAGUCCGGAAGAGGCGAGUGGAACUCCUGGUGUAGCGGUGGAAUGCGCAGAUAUCAGGAAGAACACCAACGGCGAAGGCAGCUCGCUGGGACGGAACUGACGCUGAGGCGCGAAAGCGUGGGGAGCGAACAGG